rnacentral:lncRNA from 1 species
AAUUUCCCCACCAUCCGAAAAUUCAACAAACAAAUCAUAUAGUGCUGCAAUAUAAACUAAACAGUUUGAAAUAGUUGGAUAAUAUUGCCUAGAAAAUGCAUUAGUAGCAAUUUGAAAAUGUUCUAAAAAAUCUUUAACAAUUUUAACAUUCGUCCAAUCUUGAUUUUUAAGGAUUUCAUCAUCAUCCUCACCACCAACACGAGAAUUAAACGUUGCAUUAAUUGAGUUUGUAUACUCAUAUGCAACAACUAAACUUUCAUGCAUAUAAUUCCAUCUAAUUGGACAAGGUUUAGGGACCUUUCUUUCUCUAAGGCCC